AUGGAUGAUAUGCAUGUCAUAGGGCGUGAAGAUUCUUUUGCUCGUGAAAUGAAGCAUGCACAUUUUGCCAAACGGCCCAGCCUUCGCUCAUGCCUACAAAGUCUGCAGAUACGGCUAACCACGCAUCUCACAAAAAGUCAUCAUCGAUCACCGAAUACCCCACCAUCGUGCCUGCCGGGCGUGAUGACUGCCAUGGAUGGCGUUGGCAGGGGCCGGAGGGUACAACUACAGAGGGAACCUGGGUGGGCGACGGCGUACUCCAAAGCGGGCAGACGCGUAGGUGGGGAUUGCGGAUGUCCAAAGAUGACUGGGUAG
rnacentral:rRNA from 1 species